rnacentral:sRNA from 2 species
AAUAUAGAAUCGCUGAAUUCUCUUAAGAAGCGGGGGAACCAAUUUUUAGGGGUGAAUCCUAUUUAGGAGGGGCUACCCUUUAGCCCUAACCCGACAGCUAACCUCGUAAGCGUAUAAGGGGGCAGUA